GGGAUUGGGCAAAAAAACGUAUGGAGUUUUUGUGACUUGUCAAAAAUGACAAUUCCACAACUUCAAUUUUGCAAAAUAAAACAAUGGGUUUGGGUUUUUAAGAGUACGUUUUUGUUAAUUGUUUUGAUAUUUAACAUUUUAUUAUAUUUUUCAGAGCAAAAACCUUCAUAAUAAAGUAAUACAAGUUUGUUUUAAUAAAGGAACAAUAAUUUGCUGUCAUUAAAUACAGGAAGCAACUUUCCUCAAGAAAUCCGGGAGGCAAAUAUUUCUCUAAACAAGGGCGCUAAUUACAACGACAGAUGCUCAACGUUGUGUGUACAUUUUUGUUGAAAGAAUAAGAAUAGAAUUUUUUAAAAAAAUUGUGUGGAUUAUGAACUAAACGUACUCUCUGCCCUCAAUUGCUGCUGUAUUAUCAUCGGCGACAUCUACCCCAUCCCAGUGGUAAUAGCUGCCUCAGGCGUUGACGGUGGAUCACAAAUCAACAGGGGCAACUAUACCCCCAAGUCGAUGGGCCAAGUAGAAUCUCGACAUUCGACAUAAGAGUGAUGCAAGCAAGAAUAUUGUAAACUAUAUAAUUCCUUAGGGUUUCCAACAUACUCGGCCAUUCAUCAUCCACCAAGAAAUAUAAUACAAGCCCCUCAAAAGAAAGAACUUUUGCAGCAGCAACAUCUUCUGAUUCCAAAGAUUGUAACAGCGUGCAUCACAUGUGAAAUUAAAAGAAAAGAACUUAAACAUUUAUGUUGGGAUCAACUCGCUUAAUCCUCAUCUUCUUCUAGGUCUAAAUCCUGACGCUGAGGCUUACACAGACGAUGCAUGCAGAUGAGGUAACUAGACCGAAUUUUAAUUUCGAAGCAACCUGCUCUGAGAAUACAGCACAAAAAUGGCGGUAGGCGGAAAUAAUUGGCAAGUCUUCUUCAAAAACAAAUCAAAUAAAAUCUAUCCUUUUUGAAUGUCCUACUUCAGAAUUACAGGCAAUUUUGCUAAACUUAAAGACUGUCAAAGUAUGGGCUCAAUUUCUAAGAUUUUAAGAUUUUAAAACAGUGGCUGUGCAAGCCGAUGUCCGAUUGGAAUUUUUGUAUUUGCCUCGGAAAAGAAUGUCAAUGCUAAUGACCUUAGAAGCCAAGGUUUUUUAUUCAUAAGAUCGACUAACAAGUUCUAUUCCAGUGUUUCUAUAAUUACAAUAGAAUCAAUCAUUGACUAGAAGGCUGUUGAUGGCAGGACUACUUCAAAGUAGCACGCAAACAAAACGAAGUGGUAUUGCAACAAAUUCUGCUGAAAAUAUCAUCCAUCGAUAAUCUACGUUUCUGUUGGUGCAGAUAGUUUUUAAAUAACGUAAUUUUUGUUUCCAAAAUUAAAUGGUAUUAUAAAAACAGAAAACUUUGUGUAUAAUGCAUCUUAGUCAAUGAGAUAUUAAGAAUAAAAUAAGUAUUUCCAAGAAAAUCACCUCUUUUUGG